rnacentral:rRNA from 1 species
UACGUAGGGAGCGAGCGUUGUCCGGAUUUACUGGGUGUAAAGGGUGCGUAGGCGGCUAUGCAAGUCAGUAGUGGAAUCCAUGGGCUUAACCCAUGAACUGCUAUUGAAACUGCACAGCUUGAGUGAAGUAGAGGUAGGCGGAAUUCCCGGUGUAGCGGUGAAAUGCGUAGAGAUCGGGAGGAACACCAGUGGCGAAGGCGGCCUACUGGGCUUUAACUGACGCUGAGGCACGAAAGCGUGGGUAGCAAACAGG